rnacentral:rRNA from 1 species
GCAAGUCGAACGGUAACAUAAGAGCUUGCUCUUGAUGACGAGUGGCGCACGGGUGAGUAACGCGUAUGCAAUCUACCUAUAACUGAGGGAUAGCCCAGAGAAAUUUGGAUUAAUACCUCAUAAUAAUAUUUUUUGGCAUCAUUAAAUAUUUAAAACUCCGGUGGUUAUAGAUGAGCAUGCGUUCUAUUAGUUUGUUGGUGAGGUAAAGGCUCACCAAGACUACGAUAGAUAGGGGGCCUGAAAGGGUGAUCCCCCACACUGGUACUGAGACACGGACCAGACUCCUACGGGAGGCAGCAGUGAGGAAUAUUGCACAAUGGAGGAAACUCUGAUGCAGCCAUGCCGCGUGCAGGAUGACGGCCCUAUGGGUUGUAAACUGCUUUUUUACAAGAAGAAACCUUGGUACGUGUACCAACUUGACGGUAUUGUAAGAAUAAGCACCGGCUAACUCCGUGCCAGCAGCCGCGGUAAUACGGAGGGUGCAAGCGUUAUCCGGAUUUAUUAGGUUUAAAGGGUUCGCAGGCGGAAUUUUAAGUCAGUGGUGAAAGCCUAUAGCUCAACUAUAGAACUGCCAUUGAUACUGAGAUUCUUGAGUAUAGAUGAAGUGGGCGGAAUAUGUCAUGUAGCGGUGAAAUGCAUAGAUAUGACAUGGAACACCAAUUGCGAAGGCAGCUCACUAAACUAUUACUGACGCUCAUGAACGAAAGCAUGGGGAGCGAACAGGAUUAGAUACCCUGGUAGUCCAUGCUGUAAACUAUGAUCACUAGAUGUUGGCGAUAUAUUGUCAGUGUU